rnacentral:rRNA from 1 species
AGCGAACGCUGGCGGCAGGCCUAACACAUGCAGGUCGAACGGGCUCUUCGGAGCUAGUGGCGGACGGGUGAGUAACACGUGGGAACGUGCCUUUAGGUUCGGAAUAAGCCCGGGAAACUGGGUCUAAUACCGAAUGUGCCCUUCGGGGGAAAGAUUUAUCGCCCUUAGAGCGGCCCGCGUCUGAUUAGCUUGUUGGUGAGGUAAUGGCUCACCAAGGCGACGAUCAGUAGCUGGUCUGAGAGGAUGACCAGCCACAUUGGGACUGAGACACGGCCCAAACUCCUACGGGAGGCAGCAGUGGGGAAUCUUGCGCAAUGGGCGAAAGCCUGACGCAGCCAUGCCGCGUGGAUGAUGAAGGUCUUAGGAUUGUAAAAUCCUUUCACCGGUGAAGAUAAUGACUGUAGCCGGAGAAGAAGCCCCGGCUAACUUCGUGCCAGCCGCCGCGGUAAAAC